rnacentral:lncRNA from 1 species
GCAAGAUUAGCAAAAACCAACAUGAGCAAGUUGAGGAUAAUAGAAAUUAAGAGUUCUUGAACAUCUUCAACAUUUGUGGAAACAAACAACCAAGAACUCUGUAUCUUUUGAAAAUACCAAAUACCGAACUGUGGAACCAUUAAUAGAUGAUGAAGCCAUCCAAAAGGAUGAUCCGAUUGAUCAAACCCCUUUCAGCCUUGACCAUAACUAAACGAGUAUGCUUUUCCCAGGGUGAAAACAAAAACAAACUGGAGACAUAAUUGGAGAUUUCUUGUUAUUUUUCAAGUACCAAAAACCAUGCUUGAAGCAAUAAUUGAGUUGUUAUUUUCCAGGAAAAGUAGCCUGCACAAGCACAAGUAAACACGUCACUACUGUUGAAUAAAAGCUGAAAACCCUGUAUUUUACCUGGAUAAAUUGUCAAAUCAAAAACCUUAAGGAUAAAAACAAGUGAUGUAUCAAGAUCUUCCAGAACCUCCUAACCUACGUUACAAAAAAAAAAUGAUGAUAGUGUAGAAUAAAUCUUUGUUGCUAAAAACUCUAAAGCCAAUAUGAUGGACCUACACAUUGAACCAAAUCAGAACAAGAAGUUUGUUUAGUAUAAUGUCCCUUUUAAUGAUGACUUCUUGAAGAUAAACCCAUAUGUCCUGCAGCUUAUUGCAUUUACACAUGCUUCCCUCUAUAUAGAGUAGAACAAAAAGCCUUUACUAGCCAUUCACAAGUUUUUUUUUAUUUUCCUGCUCAUCUAGUGGUUGAGUAUCUGCAUCAAACUCAUCCUCAGAGUGUAUAACCUUAUAUUUCUCUUCAGCUAGAGGAGUAGAAGUAUUGUUUGUACAUUUAUCUCUAGAGCUAAAAAGUUUCUUGGCAUGUAUCUGGGAGGAGGAAAGCGAUCAUCAGAUUUCUCAGCAAUAAAAAUAAAUUUCUUCUGCCCACCAUGUUGCUUACCUUUGUUCUCAGCCUCUUUUCUUUCUACUUUCUCCGCUUUCUUUUAACUACUUUCCUCUUCUUUCUACUCAAUUAUUCUAUGGAUUUAGGAUCAUCUAUAGUUUCUUUUCUAGACAUACAAGCCUGAUCCUAUUUGCCAAGUAAUUAUUCAACGAAAGAGGGAGUAUCAUCAGUACCAAAGACUGGAACACUAGUCCUUUUUUACCCUAUAACACCUUCUCUUUUUUUACCACACUAGUACCCUCGCCCUCAUUAAAGAUGGUUUCAAGACCAACGCUAUCUUUUCCAUAAGAAAACACCAAUACCACUCUUUUGGGCUUUAGGAGAAUAUGCAAUACCAAAGUUAAAUUAACCAGAGUUAACAGGUAAGUCUAAAGUAUGAAUGAUACGAUGCUCAUUCAUGAACCAGAAUUUCCACCUCACUGUUAACACUUCCAAUUAGAUCAUCACAUUUUUUUAAUCUUCCACCACACCUAUACUUAUAACCAUAACAUCAGUAAAACCAGUAGGGGUUAGGGAAUAAGACUACUCAAGUCAAUACCUGAUGGAUUUUGCAGAUUCAACAGCUUAGGAUUAUUUGCUUGCAUAUUUUGAGUCUGAAAGCCUACAUUUGUAUUAUAUUAUGGGGACUUAGGCAUGCAUAUCUUCUGCUAGUGUUGAUAUUAUUUUUUUUCCUGUUCUGCCCUUCUUCUUUUGCUUUUGCCAUUGUACUUAUCCCUGCAAAUAUGUACUGUCUUUUGUCUAUUUGUUUCCCUAUGUUUAGGUGUAGCUUUGGUCACAUGAGGUGUUGACUAUUUGUUGUUGUCAUCACUAUCUUGCAGCUAAGAGCUAUAAUUUUUAGCAGCCUCUUCC